rnacentral:tRNA from 1 species
GUGAAUAUAGUUCAGUUGGCAGAGCACCUGAUUGUGGUUCAGGUUGUCGUGGGUUCGAGUCCCACUAUUCACC